rnacentral:rRNA from 1 species
GGACUACUGGGGUAUCUAAUCCUGUUUGCUCCCCUAGCUUUCGUUCCUCAGCGUCAGUAGUGAUCCAGCUCGCCGCUUUCGCCACGGGUGUUCCUGCAGAUAUCUACGCAUUUCACCGCUACACCUGCAAUUCCACGAGCCUCUCUCACACUCGAGCACAGCAGUUUUGGAAGCAGCCUCUGGGUUAAGCCCAGAGAUUUCACUCCCAACUUGCCGCACCGCCUACGAACCCUUUACACCCAGUAAUUCCGAACAACGCUGGCCCCCUACGUCUUACCGCGGCUGCUGGCAC